rnacentral:siRNA from 1 species
GAUGACGUAAGACUGAGUGAUGAU